UACGGGGGGAGCAAGCGUUGUUCGGAUUUACUGGGCGUAAAGGGCGCGUAGGCGGUCAGCACAAGUCAGUUGUGAAAUCUCCGGGCUUAACUCGGAAGGGUCAACUGAUACUGUGCGACUAGAGUGCGGAAGGGGCAACUGGAAUUCUCGGUGUAGCGGUGAAAUGCGUAGAUAUCGAGAGGAACACCUGCGGCGAAGGCGGGUUGCUGGGCCGACACUGACGCUGAUGCGCGAAAGCCAGGGGAGCGAACAGG
rnacentral:rRNA from 1 species